rnacentral:rRNA from 1 species
UACAGAGGUCCCAAGCGUUGUUCGGAUUCAUUGGGCGUAAAGGGUGCGUAGGCGGCGCGGUAAGUCGGGUGUGAAAUCUCGGGGCUUAACUCCGAAACUGCAUUUGAUACUGGCGUGCUUGAGGACUGGAGAGGAGACUGGAAUUCAUGGUGUAGCAGUGAAAUGCGUAGAGAUCAUGAGGAAGACCAGUGGCGAAGGCGGGUCUCUGGACAGUUCCUGACACUGAGGCACGAAGGCCAGGGAGCAAACGGG